GAUGUCCCCAGAGGCCAAAUAGCUGGCCCACGGAUGGUAACCAACACUGUUAGGAUGAGGUGAGCCCAUCAGGUGGCAGCCUCCCAACUGUCAUGGUCUCCGCUCACUCGGCAGAUAUCGAGUCCAUGACUUCAAGGCCCACGCCACGGAGCUGCCCCACGAGGCUGUGGGAGAGCCCUGGCCUGAGAGUCGGCUCAGCUCUCUACUAUCUCACCAUGCGACCUGGGAUAGUGAGGCCUUUCCCCUCCUCGUGCCUCAGUUUCCCCAUCUGUUCCAUGAAGACGUGACAUAAAGGUCCUGACCUCUGAGAGCCCUUUCAAUUCUCUGAGACCCUCCAGGCAGUUUAAAAGACAACUACAUUAAGGAAUACAGUCAUGGACUGUUAAUGACAGAGAUGCAUUCCGAGAAAUGCACCAUUAGGUGAUUUUGAUAUUGUACAAACAGCAGAGUGUACUUACGCAAACCUAGAUCCUACAGCCUACUACAUACCAAAGCUAUACAGUACAGCCUAUCACUACAGGCUACAAACCUGUACAGCAUGUUAUCGUACUGAAUACUCCAGGCAAUCGUAACACAAUGGGUCCACAGCCUUGAAUGAGCUGGAGAGAAGCGGCACAGGAAGAGGAAGACUCACACGAGGGAACCUGGCACAGCCCCAGACUGCACGCUUGGCAUACAUCCUCUCUCAUCCGCAGAACCACCAGCAGAGGGGAGGAAGGCAGAACCACCAGCAGAGGGGAGGAAGGCACCACCACCCUCCAUUACACAGGAAAGUCACCUGCCCUCCGUCUCACACCUGGGAGGCAGGUGGUCACUCAGUUUAUCAAUCACACUGGCCAUGUGAGUACGCAACCAAAAUCCCUGGACACCAACAGCGCCCCAUCAGACAGUGCCAGAG